rnacentral:rRNA from 1 species
UACGUAGGUGGCAAGCGUUGUCCGGAUUUACUGGGCGUAAAGAGCGCGCAGGCGGUCGAAUAAGUCGAAUGGGAAAGCCCCCGGCUUAACUGGGGAGGGUCAUUCGAUACUGCUCGACUUGAAGGCAGGAGAGGGUAGUGGAAUUCCCGGUGUAGUGGUGAAAUGCGUAGAUAUCGGGAGGAACACCAGUGGCGAAGGCGACUACCUGGCCUGUUCUUGACGCUGAGGCGCGAAAGCUGGGGGAGCAAACGGG